CACACACACACACGCACCCCCCCCCCCACCACACACACACACACACACACACACACACACACACACACACACACACACACACACACACACACCAAUUAAAAUAAUGCUGAUAGCGUGGACUAGAAGACAGGUGAUGGUUUACGUAUUUAAAUGAUGAUCAGGCUGCUGUAAAAUGUAAUCUCCAUCCACAUCCAGACAGAAUUAUCCUCUAUUCUGUCUCUAGUUGCUCUGCUCUUGUCUGGGCUGACGUAGCUGACGGUGCACGCGACGCGCCUAACUAGCGGCUGAUGCACAUUUUACGCAUUUGGAGAGGUGGGCUGGAUGCUUUGCUUUUACUGGAAGAUGGUCCACUUAAUGCACGGGUGUAGACUACAUAUUAAUGACAAAUGAAUGAAAAUUAAAUUGGGAGUUUUUACUUCAUAUUUUAGAAAUAAAAAUGACGGGGGAACACAUUUAUGACGUCUUUUUAAACAAAAUUUUCUAGCGCGUCCUGCCUGCUGCACUUAAGUCACUGCCUAUUAAGGUCCGUCCAGAAUUACCGUGGCCCACCCUAACUCAAACUCAGACUUUGUUAGAGCUGAAACAACUAAUCGAUUUAAUCGAUUAUAAUCGAUUAUUAAAAUAGUUAACAACUUUUUUAGUCAUCGAUUAGUUGUUUAAUAAUCAUAUUGUACCGCAUAAAGUCUAUUUUUUACCACAAUCUGACAUCGGUUACAAUCUGUUAAAUUUGCCGCCAGUGUGUGGCAGUAAUGAGCCACUGAUCUACCAGUGGGGCCGUAGAAGAAGAAAUUAGCCAAUAAGUGCCCUCGGUUUUCAUGACGUAUCACGUUACUGACGCGCAUCUUGCUGUGAGAGAUGGCGGAUCAACAACAAAUACGGAAGAAAAAUAGAAGCGACAAAACAAGAGAAACCCCGGACAAAAACCUCACGAGUAUGGGAGCACUUCACUAGAUGCCUUGAAAAGACCGGUGACAUACAAAAUAUGCAAAAACCAUGGCACGACGGAAGCACGACGUCCCUAAGUGAACAUUUGAGACGAAAACGUGGGGGCUGAUGCAGCAGAGGAAUGUCCGAAAAAAACAAGCAACGAUGGACAACUACAUGGGGAACAAGACACUCACCCCCAGCAAUGCAUACCACUUACAAACUCUAUUCCAGAUUCUACAUUAUUUUUUAUGGAAUUUACCUCUUAUAUUUUGAUGCCAAAAAAUUAUUCUGGACUGAUAUUUUGCACUGUUUAGCUCAUUUUACACUGCUGACUGUGGUCAUGUGCAAUAAAAUAGAUUGCAGUCAACUGCACAAUUC